GAUAUACAAUACUGAUGGAGCCAUCUGCCACGACCUGCAGACUAGACUGCACGUAUCCCAGAUUCAGCCCUCUCCCAUUGAUCUGGCCGCAUGCUCCUAUGGCUCCAGCUGUUGACAACACAAAUCUAAUAAAUAUGAACAGAAUGGGAGAAAUUCAUCUUUUCUUUGUCACCAUUUAAGUUUUCUCAUCCAAACCAGUCAGUACUUCUGACUCACUACUGACUCAGAACAGUGUCACACUGUGACCAGACAGCGUGUGUGUACUUUCAAGACUACAGGUGUGUUUAUGACUCAUCUGCCAGAUUUCACUUCAGUCCCAAAGAAACCGAAUUGAAGAGUUAACAGGUCUAUGUAGAAUUUAAAAGAAUUACUGGAGUUGAUCUGCACUUGACUUUCCACAGUCCUGGAGGUCAUUACCAAAGGUCUGAUCAGGAUGGAUCACUCCAAAAGAGGUGAUGUUGAAGAUGAAUUGAAAGCCCUAUUAACACGCCUAGAUGAGCAGACCACAGACAUGGCCAUGCAUCGAAGGUCAGUGGCACUUGGAGAUCUUCAGUUUUAUAUUCUGGAAUAUGUACCAAUUGUUAAGAAAUUUCAGACAGGCAGAUCAGAAGUAUGCAUGUUGGUUUCAUUGAGACUUCAGGAGAUCUGUGUGAAUUCCUUGGUUCAGUGGUGGACGUGCCUGUAGUGCUGGAGGAAGAAGUUGUCAUGAACAGCCAUCCAAACUUUCUGACUGCCUUUGUUGUGCUCUUUGGCCUGCUUUGCUUUCUCUAUAUUGAGUAUCCUAAACAGUGGAAGUAACUUUUUGAGGCUUUCUGGGACUUGACAGUAAAAAAAAUGUUCAGCUUGAAUUCAGUCACUGAGAACAAGACUGUUGCUGGCAUGGACAGACACUUGGCUCCUCCAUAUACAGUAAAUGAUCUAGUUUAGAGGCCAAAUUCAAGUGUCAUGAUGCCAGGUUCUGUCAUCUGCUUGAUGUUUAGGGUUAGGGUUAGGUUAGGGUUAGGGUAGGGUUAGGUUUAUCUCUUAUAGAAAUAAAAUACUUGUGGUUUAGAGCACACAAACAAAACACUGUAAAUAAAUUUGUCUCAUGUCUGGGAGCACUAUGUGUGUGCGUUCCUCCAUCCUUAUGUCUUUACCAUGCGGAUCUAUAAGGUAUUUUUGGAAAGUGUCAAUAAACCUGCUCUUUGGCGCAGUUCAAGUUUGUAUUCGGAUUUAUUUGCUCUUCAAUCUCUAUGCAGGCUUUGGAUUUUCAGGAUGACCAGAGCAGCAUUUCAGAUGCAGUGAUUAGUCUGCUGGUUAGUCCUGUUAUGAACAAAUUAUUCAGUCAUGUGGCUUUUUUAAUGAGCAUCUUGCAUUCCUAUUAAAUUUAAUAGGAGUUUAUUUGGGAAAUGUGUUUCCAUUAAAGUUUAUGAACAUUACUUCUUAUUGAAUAAAAAACGUAUCCUCAAGCGAAUGUACAAGUUUAUGUGCAUUUAGGAGAUGUUAUUCACAUCUUGGUAUUUCCAUCCAGCAUUUUUUAUGCAAUGUCCCAAAAUAUGCAUAAAAAUAAGGGGAUGGAAACAAAGCUAUAGAGAGUUAUUGACACCCACCGUUUGUACAAGUUUGUUGGAAAUAUUUUUCAACAUGUUUGUUAUAAAUCAACUUAAUUAACAAAUUAUUACCAGUGUUAAUGGCUAGGGUUUAUCUCUUUUCAAUUUUGUAAACUAAAAUGUGUUGUUUUAUUGCAGUUAAUGUUGAUCAGCUGUAAGGAAUUAAACUUGUGUCAUUUGUUAAUGUGCAUAUGCUUAUGGAAUAUAUUCCUAAUACAGACUGAGGAAAAAUAAAAAACAUGGAUUUCAUUUGUGUGCUUAAAAGUUCAUUUAAUUCUUAGUGGCCUCAGUGUAAAAUAGUUUAGUAACUAGUUCACUAGUUUAGUACCAGUAACUAGUUUAGUGCAGCUAUUUCUAGUUGAGAUGUCCAAAUAAUACAUUCUAGUUCAAUGAAUAUAUUUGACAUAUGGAGUAAACACACAAUUUUUAACUGAAUGUAUCUUUGUGUUAGUUUUCUAAAUGUUGCACCAAUUAAAACAUUUUAGUUGAGUGAACUAUGAAACUAGUUGGGCUAUAACAUACUAUUUUAAAUUGGAGUUCACUUUGAGCCAACUAAACAAGAAUAAUUCAGUUAAUACUUUGAAGAAAGAAACUGAGUGAAUGUAAAAAUUCUGUGGAACUAGUUACUAAAUAUUUAUUCAUUGAGAUGGCUUGACAUUUUUUACAGUGUACGUCUUUCGGUCAUGAGAUAUUGUUGGUCACUGGAGAUUACAUCAAUCAGCUCAGAUGUUGAGAGUCUGACUUGGUGGUCUUGUAGUAACAAAUUCGCCAUUUCUAUAAGAAACUGCGGCUUCUAUUCUGCUCAGAUACAACUUUACAUUUUAAUAAACAAAGAUUGCAUCUGCACUUCUGUGGAUGUAUAUCUUGA